rnacentral:lncRNA from 1 species
UCUCUCUCUUCUGGCCGUCCUCCUUAUCCGGACUCGGCGCGGUGUAGAGGCCUCUUGCUGUGUGCAGGCUGGUUCCUAGUGGAGUGUCUGGUUCAUGUGCCGUCGUCCUCGUCGGAUUCGGGCGCUGAUUUUUUUUUUUGUUUCAUUGCGAUGGAGGAGUGGGUCUUCUGCCGGGCGGUGCUGUGAUGACGACAUUGUGGACUAGAGUUUCUGAUCUUUUUGAGAGAUUUGAAGACGAAUCCCUUGGCUGUCUGAGCACGUAACCCUCUGGGCUUUCUCCUUCCCUUCGUUUUUCUCCUCCCGCCCCGUCGCUGGUCGGCGGGUGAGUGGGAGCGAGUCGGAUUUAGGGUCUGUGCUGCCGCAUCCAUUACCAAUUCUGGAGAAUGAUUCUAUGUUUCUCGCGGUGUAAUGGCUUGGAUGCCAGAUCGACCACCAGUGGGGUUAUCCUGGCCCGUGGCCGUCUCUAUCUCUUCAUGCCAUCGGACCCUGGAAACACCUCGUACAUUUUGACCAUUCUCUCUCUUCUCUCUCUCUACACCGUCUAAUUCUUCUUCUUUAUACGGUCUCGGAGUCUCGGGUAAUUUUUCCGAGUCUCUCUGAGAACGCUAGUCGGUGGAAUCAUUGAACUGGGGUGGUUGCGUGGGCUUUUCUGGCACCUCUUGAUCUUCCAUGGAUGGAGCUGCUGCCGGGCCCUCGAGCUAAUAGACAAGGCGGACAAUGAUAUCAUGAGAAGAUGCUGAGAAAAGGACUUGUUGGUCUCAUGUCGGGAGACGGGGUCGCUAUCUCCGCGACGCCCCCGAGUUUCUGCGGUGGAGGUCCGAGCCGAGGAGACAUGCGCCGACGUGCUGCCCAACGCGGAAUGUCACGGUUGGGCGGCACGCCAGCACGCGCCAGCUGCCCGGCGGCACGCUCGGCGCCGCAUCCUGGCGCACGCCGGCACGCGGAGCGGCGUGCUGGGACGCGCGCUCAGGGGCGGAGGGGCGACUAGGACCGUAAAUGGGCCCUGAACUCGGCUGGACGUGGGAUAAACGGUGAGUGGGAUUCACGAAUUAGUGAGAGGCCGUGGAUUAAAGGAUAGCCCCAAUUUUAUGAGGCGAACCAGGCCGGCCAUAUAAGCACUGUGACUCUCCGACAACCGGGAGGGAGAGAACAGUAUCGUAGUCAACGUCAUGGGUGGGCUGACUUUCCCAGGAACCACUCCAUCAUAAGGAGUAUUUAUUGGGCCUCGAAAAUGCUGGAUGAUGAAAGUCAUAUCGCAAGGGUUGGAAGCAUACCACACGCCGGCGCCGUAGUUGACUAGCCCCUGCUCUCACCCCGUGCGUCGAUCUGAGAGAACGUAGAAGAAUGAUCGUUGAUAACUACAAGGGAAUAUACAUGCACGUUACGGUCACGGGAGGGUUACCUACCAUGAUAUCAGACGCCCACAGGGUCAGGUUGUCCCUGAGGAGCUGCAUAAUCAAGGUGCUGUCCUUGUAAAACUCCUCCGCGAGGGUGUCCAGCCCGGGGACAGCCCCCUCGAAGGCCUAGGCAAGGAUAAACGAGGUUAAGUUUGAAAUCUCAUGAAGAUCUGAGAGCAGGGAAAAUAAGAGGAUCCGUCCGUGCCUGAGGUAUGGGUUGGAAAAAAAUAACAAAUAUGAUGAGAGGUGUGAUUGGCGCUCAAGUCUUUUUUUCUUACAAUUUUCUUAUGCAGAAGAAAGAAAUUAACAAGAAGCACGGGCAAGCAAGCAGCUGCAAACUAGUGCCUGCCCAGAGGAUUGAAAGCAUCCUCCGCACGGAAGACAGCAGUUUCGUGCAUGGAGGGCUGCGCCAGCCAAACAAGAGGGUUAACUGCAACAAGAGCAAUUUGAAAAAGCCGCAAACAGACUAGAGAGUGAAUGAGCAGCUGCAAGCUAGUGAUGUGAGGGAUUGACAUACUCCGAAAGCCUGGAGAAUUUUAUUGGAGAUUUUUCUGACAUAUAAACAACUGCUUAAUGAAGCAGACAAUCUCCCUUAACCCAGCUCACUGCCGUCAGCAUCUACUCGUAGAUGCUAGUACUCUACAGCUUUGAUUUACAUAUGGGUGUCAAAACGACGUAUUCUUCAUAAAUGCCAGCCAUGUCAAACGUGAUGAAGAGAAAUCACGACCUGGUCCGAAUAGGACGGCACAGAGUUUCGCACAUUAUCUGACUUUUGAUGAUUUUCAUUGCAAAGUAGAUUAAAAAAAUGUAAAUCAGGGACAAUAAUAUGAUCACUCUAAGGUUGGAUAGGUCAGAGAAGCACGCUGAGCAUGAUGAGCAGGAUACCAGAAACUAAAAGGCCAAGCAUUACUGACCAAUCUUGUUCUGUACAAUGUUUACAUAGCUAGUGCACAAAUAAAGGCUCAUGGAAAUAGGAGAACACAUUCUCAAGAAAUGAGUUAUCAGAUACCAAUCCGAGUAGGGACUUAAUGUCGCAUAAGAACACGUGCGUUUUGAGAAAAUCCAAAAAUAAUUUCUCACUAAGUUAUAAAGCAAAAUCAAUUAUAUGUACCUCCUUUGCAAUCUCGCGUGCGCGCUCGGGUGAACUAAGAAUCUCAUAAUGGAACACAGAGAAGUUCAGUGCAAGACCCAGCCUGAUAGGAUGAGUUGGUGGCAACCCGGCAAGAGCUGCAUCCUACAUAUCAAUUAAGACAACGAUACAAGUGAUGCGUGAGGCGGUGCCAUGUUUAGCUUUGUCAAUUAGAUGACACCAAAAGAGGGUUGCGAAGGAAGCCAAAUAUCGAUAACGGAUGCAAAUAAUACACCUCAGCAGACUUGUAAGCCGACAGAGUAGUCUCAGCUGCCUCCUUCCUUUCGGUUCCCGUCUUGAUUUCGGCGAGGUACCUGAGAGUUUGAAACCACCACCACCUCAAUCAGAGCUAUUCAUUUCUUCCAGACAGAGAGUUCUAGAAUAGAUCUCUGAUCUCCCGGACCUGAGGUAGUCGCCCUUCAUCUUGAGGUAGAAGACCUUGGACUCAGCCGUCGUCGCAGAGGGAAUGAGGAUCGACUCCAGCAGCUUCAGGAUGCUGUCACAUAUCUUACUGAUUUCGGCCGCGAUCUUUUCCCUGUACUGUCUGGCGAAGGCAAUCUGGUCCUCAUUCCCGCCUUUCUCCUCCUUCUGCUCGAUGGAACAGAUGCUGCGCCAUGAGGCGCGGCGGGAACCGACAGCAUUUUUAUACGCCACGGAUAGGAGGUUGCGCUCCUCACCGUUGAGCUCCCCCGCGUCCACCAUCUCAACGACCUUCUCCAUUAAUUCCACCAUCUCAUCGUACCUCUCUGCCUGCUCGGCCAGUUUGGACAAGUACACAUUCUCGUCCUUCGAAAACUCUUUCAUCUCGCUAUCUCUCUACACAGAAUCUCUCCCUCUCGAGGCUAGGAUCACAGAUUUGCAGGGCGGCCGACUCAAUCGGUCUGCAUCAAAAGAGAAACUAAGUGAACAGUCAGCAAACAAAUGGACCAGGAAACACUCAAAGAACUAGAAAGUUGGCCAUGAAAACAGUACAGAAACGGAUCCAACCAGGAAACUCUGAACCGAAUUCUCCACAAAUGAAACGCGAAAAAUCGCCGAACAUAGAAGCCAAACCGAUCCGUAAGAAGGCAUAAACAGAGGAAUCAGAUCAUCACAGUCGACUCAACCGCCGAAAGGAUGAUCCCCGACGAAGAGACGCGGUGUUCGAUCGGCGUGUGAGCAGCGACCUAGUAGAAGAAGAGCAAGAACCCUCGCCUGCCGCGUCUCCCCUCCUUCCUGAGCCCGAACCAGAGUACAAGAAAGUGUGUUCUCGAAUCUCCACGAAACCCCGCGUCCUCAACCUCCCGCCCAACCGCCUGCCGACGACGAGACAGGCGGUUGGGCCAUGUCCGCCUUUUAUAGUUUCCCGCCCUCUGUCUUUUUAACGUCCAUAAUAUCACUAAUGUUUCCAAAAUACUAGUAUUUUGAAAAUAAAUUGUGAAAACACCUAAAUAAUUAUCUCUUUUUAAAAUUUUAACAAAAUAUUGAAGUGAAAUAUACAAUAAAAUAAAAAUAUGUGAUAAAAUAUACUGUAUCUUUCAUAUUAAAAAUCAUUAUAAAAUAUAAUAUUAUAAUUUAAUCUACCAUCUUGUUUUAGGAAUGACAUCAUCGUACUAGUUCGCUCAAAUACUCUUCAUAUUAUAAUAUUAUUCGCACUAUUCAUUUGACUGAGCUCCUAAUAAUUAUUAUUAUCAUUGUCUUCUUUCCAUUAUCAUUAAGAUUAUCCAGAGGCCCGUCACUUGAAGAGAUACAUCAAUUAGCGCAGAGUGGAUAUGAGACCAACGUAAUAUAGUAUUAAUUGUAGGCUAUAUAAAAUCUAGAAAUAUAUAUAUAUAUAUAUAUAUAUUUUCAUAAUUGACCAAAUGACAUGGAAAACAUACAUGCUUGCCAAAUCAAUCUACCAGAUCAAUAGGAUGGCCUUGUGAUAUGGCAAAUUAAAAUAAAACCCUUGAUUUUGUUUUUGUAGCAAGAUGUUUUUUAUUUUUUGAAAAAAUAAAUUCCUUUUUAAAAAAAUGAAUUCACAAUCAUAUGCCUCAAGAUAACAUAUCAACGGACUUCCCCGGACUAGAGACGAAUCGAUCAGGACGCACAUCAUGGGGCCAGGAAAGCUGGCACCAUAAUGCCUUCGAGCCAGAAGAUUGCACUCCACUGCGGCCAAAUCACAAACGGAAAGUCAACCCCAUAAUGCACAAUUAUUCAAAAGAUUAUAGGAACAUGCAUCAAUUAUUGAGCAAGGUCAACCCCAUAGUGCACAGCCAAAUUGGUUCAAGUAUCAUCCAAAAGGGGAUGGUCAACGCUCACGUUUCACAUUAAAAAACGAAAUUAAAGCACAGUUAAUUCAGCAAGAAUUAGUUUUCAGAUAGCACAAGCCCAUUGCCCUUGCGCUCCAAUGGCAUGGAUAAAAAAAAUGAGAGCCAUAUGAAAGGGAAUGAGCUCAG